rnacentral:misc_RNA from 1 species
CAGAAAAGUGGUGGGCAAGGUGGUCGCAAGACUCACGCACAUUCGCGUGUGCCUGUGCGUGUGCGGACGUGUGCUUGCUGGUGUGCGGCUAGAUCGGCCCGACGUCGAAAAAGCGGGAAUAAGCGAAACGGCGCAUCCUACCGGCUCGACAAGGCUGCACCUUACUUGAGCUAAACGGCGAGAGAGAGCGCACAGGCAACACGGGCAGGCUGUGCGGCCAUCGACAUCCCCUAGCGGAGGUGCCUGUUUCUUUGACGGUUUGGUGAGUUUCGUAAUUUGCUGCCUUGAUCGACUCCACCGUCGCACCUUCUCCGCAUGAUUCCGCGCUACGACGGCCUUGUACCCGCCAUUCGGGGGCCGGCGUCUGUGUGUGCCGUUGCCUCCGCCAAUGCAACGCCAUCGUCAACGACGAUGCGCACGGCAGCGGCCACCGCAGUGACCCGCUAUGUCAUUUGCCCUGUCGAAACGGUCGGCAGGGAGAAUGCGCACCUGAACGCGGCUGCGGAGCACGAGCGGCGUCUGUUUGCGUUCCUUCCCUCUGUCGACUGCGCCACGCCCCCGCGUGAGCUGCGCGUCUCCUCCCAUUACUUUGAAGACUCGCUGGAUGCAUCUGUCGCAGGCAGCGAUGCCGAGAGCGGCGAGGACUUGGAUGAGGAUGAGGAAAGCCACACCACGGCUAGGCGCGGCAACCCGCGCGAAGAUAGCGCGCACGGCAGCAACAGCGGCAGUCGCAAGCGGCGCCGUGCGCGUCGGCGAGAGCCAAUGCGACUCGAGUACGACGGCUUCCUCACGCCGUCGGCCACGGAAGCUACCAAGUGUGUGCGGCUUGUUUCCACACCGGCCUCCGAGUACAGUCAUCUGACGUGUGUGUUGCUGCAGCUGCCCACGACGUGGCGUGAACAGGACAUCGAUGAGGGUGAGGGGCAUGGGAGGACGGCGUGCUUGUCGUCUUCGUCCACGUCAAAGCCACUCAUCACCUCCAUACCGCUCCGACGGCCGAUACUGCAACUGUGGGGCGAGAGGAACACGGCUGCUGCCGGCCCGAACGAUGGAUCUCUCUUCUCCGGCAGCAGUGCCGCUAGCAUCUCGGCCGCCUGGGGCUCUGACACACCUCUGAGAAUCAGCACGAAAGACUGGAAGACAAUGGAUGCGGCCGAGGCGGAUCUGCAUAAGCCCACCAACUGGUCGGACGAUGACGGCGGUGACGUCAGCGACGAAGGCCGAGGAAAGUCGUCAAAGGGCGCAGACGACACCAUCUCUGCACGCGCACGCAAGCGAGAAAGAGAGGAGGCGACGAACGUCGCGGUGCGCUCCUUCCUCGCCGGCGCGAAGGAAGCCCUGCGGCAGCAAGGCGCCGUCGGCACUGCGGAUGGGUUCGCGCAGCCGCAGCCGGCGGUGCGCAGGGACAACGCUGCACCUGUGAGCGCGCGAGUGGAGACCUCUGCACCGGUAAAGGCAGCUGCAAAGCGGGCGGCCGUAACUGUGCCGCUAUCGUCCGAUUCUUCGGGAUCAAGGGUGCGGCCAUCAGUCGCCACCCCUGCAGUGCCCCCAACCCGGAUUCUUACUACUAACUCUGCGGGACCGCUGCCGUCUUCUGGUGCUGCGCCGCCAGAUGGCUCCGCGUCAUUGGACUCACUGGCGUGCACCGUGGUGGCAGGAAUGCAGUCGACUGAGGCGCGUAGAAUGGCGACGCUGAUGGAGCUGCAGAAGCGGAUUCUGAAGCAGCUGCCGGAGUUCGCUGCCAUGAGCCAAAAAAUCAAGUCGACCGCAACGAAGCAGGAGGCUGUAGCGUGGUUUCAAACAUCGCAACAGGCACUGCGGGUGUGGCUGGUGGAGCAUGGCCACACCAUCAACUCCGAUGGGACGGUUACCUUCGGGGAUGUGUAAAGCGAACAAGCGCUGAGAAACGCUGGCUUGAAAAGCCAGCGAUGAGGGUGUGAGAGGUGGAGAAGGGGCAAAGAAGAUGAACCCCCAUGGCAGCGCCGCACGCGCGUGCUUGCUGGCGUUUGCGUGCGACGCUCCUCUCUCUUUUUCUCUCUCGCUCGCUCUGUCGGUGCGUAUCUCUGAGGCCGCUGCUGGCUGCUGCCCCCCUCUCCUUCUUCCGUGUUAUCGCGUCAUACGUUUUUGUGUUGCCGUGGGGUGCACAUCGGCGGGGCGCACGGGCGAGCGGCGGGGCAAAACGAAAGGAAAGCGCGCGAUGGAGCGUGACAGGACAGGUCUCACCUCCACCACAACGUGAAAACAGAACGUCGCACCGAGGAUACAUGCGCGGCUCGAAUACACACCUUCAUUUUACAUGGGUACAUGUGCUGGCGCGUCCACCGGUGACGACCACCUACUCGAGCGACGACUGGCACGGCGGGGGGGGGUUGUAGUACGCAGCGAUGUUGGCAUGCAAACGGCUGCUGUUGUACCGCUGUCUCUCCCCCCUUCGCGUUUGUGUGACGUGCGUAGGCGCAUCUCUGCGGGCAGGAGAAUGAAGCGACCAAAAGGUGACGUAGCCUUGGGUUGCCGCGUGGCCGCAUGAGCGCGUCGUUUGUGGCUGCUCUACACCCAUCCCUUAUUGCUCUUCUCCGUUGCACUCGACUGCCAUUUUUCCUCCCCUUUGUUUGCCCCCUCGGUAUGUUGUUUGCGCGCCGCGCUAUACACGACCGGCACGGCUGCUUGCCACGCAUGAACGCGAUUCACCGUCGAUGUUCAAG